rnacentral:rRNA from 1 species
AGUACCUGAAACCGUUGGUCUACAAACAGUCAAAGCAGACUUGUUCCGCGAUGGCGUGCCUUUUGAAGAAUGAGCCAACGAGUUACGGUGUGUGGCAAGGUUAACCCGAUGAGGGGAAGCCGGAGCGAAAGCGAGUCUGAACAGGGCGUUCAGUCGCAUGCCGUAGACCCGAAGCCGAGUGAGCUAUCCAUGGGCAGUGUGAAGCGGAGGUAAGACUCUGUGGAGGCGCGAACCGACCUCAGUUGAAAAUGGAGCGGAUGACCUGUGGAUAGGGGUGAAAGGCCAAUCAAACUCGGUGAUAGCUGGUUCUCCGCGAAAUGCAUUUAGGUGCAGCGUCCUGCGUUCAACGAUGGGGGUAGAGCACUGAAUGGGCUAGGGGUCCUACAAGACUACCGACCCCAAUCAAACCCCGAAUACCAUCGUUCCAGAGCACGGCAGUGGGACCUCGGGGGAUGAGCUUCGAGGUCGAGAGGGAAACAGCCCAGACCGCCGGCUAAGGUCCCAAAAUCUGAACUAAGUGGUAAACGAUGUGAGAUUGCGAAGACAGCCAGGAGGUUGGCUUGGAAGCAGCCAUCCUUGAAAGAGUGCGUAACAGCUCACUGGUCGAGUGAUCUUGCGCGGACAAUGUAACGGGGCUCAAGUUCAGUACCGAAGCCGCGGAUGCGACUCUUUGAGUCGUGUGGUAGCGGAGCGUCGAGCGUGCAGCGAAGCGGCGGGACAACCCAGCCGUGGAGCGCGUUCGAGUGCGAAUGUUGGCAUGAGUAGCGAAUGAGGGGUGAGAACCCCCUCCGCCGUAUGUCCAAGGGUUCCUGGGCGAGGCCAAUCCUCCCAGGGUGAGUCGGGAGCUAAGGCGAGGCCGAGAGGCGUAGUCGAUGCACAACUGGUUGAUAUUCCAGUACCACCAUGUUCGCGUCCGUCCCAAUACUCUGUUGCUAAGGGGCUGUGUUGACUUCGGUCAACGCGAACCGACCCACAUUGUUGCGGGAAGCUGUAGGGGGACACAGGAAGGUAGAUGAACCCGGUGAAUGGUAGAACCGGGGUAAGCGUGUAGGAGGAGGACCAGGUAAAUCCGGGCCUCAUAAACUCUGAGACGUGAUACCGAGCCGCUUCAGGCGAAGUCAUUGAUCCUAUGCUGCCUAGAAAAGCCCAGCAGCGAGUUGACAUGGUGCCCGUACCCCAAACCAACACAGGUGGACAGGUAGAGCAUACCAAGGCGAGUGGGAUAACUAUGGUUAAGGAACUCGGCAAAUUGCCUCCGUAACUUCGGGAGAAGGAGGACCCCAGUAGCGUGAUGAGACUUGCUCUCUGAGCGUGAAGGGGUGGCACAAAAUUGAGGGAAGCGACUGUUUACCAAAAACACAGCAGCGUGCUAAGCCGUAAGGCGCUGUAUACGCUGUGACUCCUGCCCGGUGCUGGAAGGUUACGGGGAUGGGUUAGUCCUUCGGGACGAAGCUCUGAACCUAAGCCCCAGUAAACGGCGGCCGUAACUAUAACGGUCCUAAGGUAGCGAAAUUCCUUGUCGGGUAAGUUCCGACCUGCACGAAUGGAGUAACGACUUCCCUACUGUCUCAACCAUAGACCCAGCGAAAUUGAAGUACGAGUAAAGAUGCUCGUUAGCUGCAGAAGGACGGAAAGACCCCGUGGACCUUUACUAUAACUUGAUGUUGUGUUUUGUCAUU